rnacentral:rRNA from 1 species
UGGGGAAUAUUGGACAAUGGGCGCAAGCCUGAUCCAGCCAUGCCGCGUGAGGGAUGAAGGCCCUAGGGUUUUAAAGCUCUUUCACCGGGGAAAAUAAUGACGGUAACCGGAGAAAAAGACGCGACCAACUUCGUGCCAGCAGCCGCGGUAAUACGAAGGGGGCUAGCGUUGUUCGGAUUUACUGGGCGUAAAGCGCACGUAGGCGGACUUUUAAGUCAGGGGUGAAAUUCCGGGGCUCAACUCGGGAGGUGCUGUUGAUACUGGAAGGCUUGAGUAUGGUAGAGGUGGGUGGAAUUGCGGGUGUAGAGGUGAAAUUCGUAGAUAUUCGGGGGAACACCAGUGGCGAAGGCGGCUCACUAGGGCGUUACUGACGCUGAGGUGCGAAAGUGUGGGGAGCAAACAGG